rnacentral:rRNA from 1 species
AUUGAACGCUGGCAGCAGGCCUAACACAUGCAAGUCGAGCGGUAGAGAGAAGCUUGCUUCUCUUGAGAGCGGCGGACGGGUGAGUAAUGCCUAGGAAUCUGCCUGGUAGUGGGGGAUAACGUUCGGAAACGGACGCUAAUACCGCAUACGUCCUACGGGAGAAAGCAGGGGACCUUCGGGCCUUGCGCUAUCAGAUGAGCCUAGGUCGGAUUAGCUAGUUGGUGAGGCAAUGGCUCACCAAGGCGACGAUCCGUAACUGGUCUGAGAGGAUGAUCAGUCACACUGGAACUGAGACACGGUCCAGACUCCUACGGGAGGCAGCAGUGGGGAAUAUUGGACAAUGGGCGAAAGCCUGAUCCAGCCAUGCCGCGUGUGUGAAGAAGGUCUUCGGAUUGUAAAGCACUUUAAGUUGGGAGGAAGGGCAGUUACCUAAUACGUAAUUGUCUUGACGUUACCGACAGAAUAAGCACCGGCUAACUCUGUGCCAGCAGCCGCCGUAA